CAUUUCAACAUUACCAAACGACUCAAUUCGAAGGUUUUCUUUUACUUAUGGUUUUGGUUUUGUAUCUUUCUAGUUUAUUUAAAUAAUUCAAAAAAUUUGCAUAUAAAUAAACAGGUCAUUUACGAGUCAUAUUCGAGUUGAAAUUCUCAACCCUAACCUUACUUGUUUAAUUUUCGUGUCGUGUCAACCCGUUUAUUUAAGCGGGUUAAAAUAUCUUACCCAAACCCCUUUAUUUCAUGUCGGGUUUCGUGUCAUGUCAAUUUUUGUCACCUCUAGUUUUGGUGAGUGAAAGGAGGUUAGUGGCGGGCACUGUCGGUCCGAGGUCUACGACAACGGUAGAUGGUUGUAAUAGAUGAGUCGUUGGGAAUGAGAUUAGUUGGGUGUGGGGUGUUGUGGACCUAACUUAUUUUUUGAAAUUAUAAAUAAAAAACAAUAAAUGAAUUUAAAAAGAUUAAUAAGGAAAAAAAAAAUACUAUUUUAGAACUAAACCAAAAAACAAAACCAAACCACUAGACGAUUAAGUUUUAAAAAAAAAAUAGGGACCAUGCAAAAAAAUAAAAAUAAACAAAUAAUGAAUCGAAAGCAGAAGCAUAUGUUUAAUAUUUAACUAUUUUAUCUAUUUACUUGUUCAAAUCUCUUCUAAAUUACGAUUUUAAUCAAGUAUUUAUGGAAAAGAAAUGUAAAAUUAAGAUAGUGCAACGGUAAAAAAUGAAAAAAGGAAACUACCUAAUUUCAACGCUACUCCCCACGAAGCGUAUAUAUACCUCCCCUUUCCUCAAAAUUCAUCAGGCCUUUUCUCUCAUUACUUCGACGACGAUUAUUUCCCGCCUCUUUCUCAUCCUUUUUCAACGACGAUUAACUCCGGUAAGUUUCUCGUUCCUGUUACUGUUCUCUCUUCAUCUUCUUCUUUCGACGCAUUGAAAUUUUGUUUUAGAGAAAGGGCUCGAUAUUAUAUAUUCUGUCGACUGUGGUAUUAUACUUGAUCAUUUAUCUCACACAGUUCUAUUGCACAUUACCGAGAAUUGAAAUAUCAUAACGAUCAAUAGUUCAGGGUUUUACCGAUUUGUGGAUAUUUUUCUGCACCAGUUAUGCCGGUUCAGGGGAUCCAUUCCUUGGUAUUUUACUGCACCAACUAGGAUUUUAAUGUUCAUUAUGUCUCAGAUUUCUCUCUCUAUGUUUAUGGAAAAUUAUAUUGUCUCUGUCUAAAAGAUAAAUCUUCUACAUGAAACCUGUAAACUAAUGAAGAUUAACAAAUAUGAGAGCAACAUAUCCUUGAUUUGUUUUUA